rnacentral:rRNA from 1 species
CGGAACGGGUGAGUAACGCGUGAGGAACCUGCCUCAAAGAGGGGGACAACAGUUGGAAACGACUGCUAAUACCGCAUAAGCCCACGGCUCGGCAUCGAGCAGAGGGAAAAGGAGCAAUCCGCUUUGAGAUGGCCCCGCGUCCGAUUAGCUGGUUGGUGAGGUAACGGCCCACCAAGGCGACGAUCGGUAGCCGGACUGAGAGGUUGAACGGCCACAUUGGGACUGAGACACGGCCCAG